CAGUCGUACCGACGAGAAAUCAGCUUUUCGAAUGUGCAUUUGUGGGCGUAUGAGAUCUUCAUUGUUUGCAAUAUGUAUGUUUCUUUGGUGUACUUUUUCGUAUGGUAGGUCAACGUCGGUUUUGGUCGCCAUAAAAUGAUCGGAGGAAUGUAGCUUCGACCUCGGUUGAAGUGUUAUAGCCUUUGGUAAAUGUGGUGAUUAAGACCGAGGAUUGCAACGAAUACCUUUAGGCUAUCCGUCUGACCUCUGAAAGUUACUUGGGUGUCGAAAGCUUGCCUACGGCCAUUUAAGUUAACGGUCAAAAGGUUAGAACGUGAUUACAUUCGUUAAGGACGUUGACGUAAUAGCUUUAAACGACCCGUCUUGAAACACGGACCAAGGAGUCUAACAUAUGUGCGAGUGUUU
rnacentral:rRNA from 1 species